AGUGAACGCUGGCGGCAGGCCUAACACAUGCAAGUCGAACGGCAGCACAGAGGAGCUUGCUCCUUGGGUGGCGAGUGGCGGACGGGUGAGGAAUACAUCGGAAUCUGCCCAGUCGUGGGGGAUAACAUAGGGAAACUUAUGCUAAUACCGCAUACGACCUACGGGUGAAAGCGGGGGAUCGCGAGACCUCGCGCGAUUGGAUGAGCCGAUGUCCGAUUAGCUAGUUGGCGGGGUAAUGGGCCCACCAAGGCGACGAUCGGUAGCUGGUCUGGGAGGAUGAUCAGCCACACUGGAACUGAGACACGGUCCAGACUCCUACGGGAGGCAGCAGUGGGGAAUAUUGGACAAUGGGCGCAAGCCUGAUCCAGCCAUGCCGCGU
rnacentral:rRNA from 1 species